rnacentral:sRNA from 1 species
GGUUACAUUGAGCAGAGAUCGGGUCUCUGCACUCCAGCCUGGCAACAGAUUAAGACUCCAUACCCCCCUGCCAAAAAAAAAAUACCUGGCUUAUUUUGCAAGUACAGAUGAAGCUCAGGUUCCCCAAGGAAAUAUUGACCAGGUUGCUGUUGUGGCCAUCAAUGUUCUGUUUUUUGUGGCUCUAUUUAUCUUUGCCCUUUUUGAAACCAUCAUUACUCCAUUAACAAUGGAUAUGUAUGCCUGGACUCAAGAACAAGCUGUGUUAUAUAAUGGCAUAAUACUUGCUGCUCUUGGGGUUGAAGCAGUUGUUAUUUUCUUAGGAGUUAAGUUACUUUCCAAAAAAUUUGCACAAUAAUUCAGUCCCUAAUACCACAUUUGGGGAAAUUAUUAUUGGUCUUUGGAAGUCUCCAAUGGAGGAUGACAAUGAAAGACCAACUGGUUGCUCGAUUGAACAAGCCUGGUGCCUCUACACCCCGGUGAUUCAUCUGGCCCAGUUCCUUACAUCAGUUGUGCUAAUGGGAUUAGGCUAUCCAGCCUGCAAUCUUAUGUCCUAUACUCUGUAUUCAAAAAUUCUAGGACCAAAACCUCAGGGUGUAUACAUGGGCUGGUUAACAGCAUCUGGAAGUGGAGCCCGGAUUCUUGGGCCUAUGUUCAUCAGCCAAGUGUAUGCUCACUGGGGACCACGAUGGGCAUUCAGCCUGGUGUGUGGAAUAAUAGUGCUCACCAUCACCCUCCUGGGAGUGGUUUACAAAAGACUCAUUGCUCUUUCUG